rnacentral:tRNA from 1 species
AGGGACUUAGCUCAGUGGUAGAGCGUUUGCCUAGCAAGCGCAAGGCCCUGGGUUCGAUCCUCAGCUCUG